rnacentral:rRNA from 1 species
UACGUAGGGACCAAGCGUUGUUCGGAUUUACUGGGCGUAAAGGGCGCGUAGGCGGCGCGGUAAGUCACUUGUGAAAUCUCUGAGCUUAACUCAGAACGGCCAAGUGAUACUGCAGUGCUAGAGUGUGGAAGGGGCAAUCGGAAUUCUUGGUGUAGCGGUGAAAUGCGUAGAUAUCGGGAAGAACACCAGUGGCGAAAGCGCUCUACUGGGCCAUAACUGACACUGAGGGACGAAAGCUAGGGGAGCGAAAGGG